GGGCUGGUAGCUCAGUUGGUAGAGCACGCGACUUUUAAUCGCUAGGUCGUGGGUUCGAGUCCCACCCGGCCCACCU
rnacentral:tRNA from 1 species